rnacentral:rRNA from 1 species
GCUGCAGUAACUUGACUGUGCUAAGGUAGCAUAAUCAAUAGUUUUUUAAUUGAAGGCUUGAAUGAAAGGUUGGAUGAGAGAAAAACUAUCUUGGUUUCAAUAAUAAAAUUUAACUUUUAGGUGAAAAGGCUUAAAUAAAGUAAAGGGACGAUAAGACCCUAUAAAACUUAAUAUAGGUGACAUAAUUUAUUGAAUUUAGUGUAAUAGAGAUUAAAGGGUUAUAUUUUGUUGGGGAGAUAAGAAUAUAAGAUUAAAUAACUGUUUAGUAAAUAGAAUAAAUAUAAUUAGAAUAUGAUCCUUUAUUAGGGAUUUGAAGUUAAAGUUACUUUAGGGAUAACAGCGUAAUUUUUUUUGAGAGUUCUUAUCGACAAAAGUAGUUGCGACCUCGAUGUUGAAUUAAAAUUUUAAUUGAAUGGAGCUGUUUGAUUAGUAGGUCUGUUCGACCUUUAAAAUU